rnacentral:rRNA from 1 species
CGCGUAGGCGGCUUUAUAAGUCUGGAGUGAAAGUCCUCUUUUCAAGGGAGGAAUUGCUUUGGAAACUAUAGAGCUUGAGUGCAGGAGAGGUUAUCGGAAUUCCCGGUGUAGCGGUGAAAUGCGUAGAUAUCGGGAGGAACAUCGGUGGCGAAGGCGGGUAACUGGACUGCAACUGACGCUGAGACGCGAAAGCGUGGGUAGCAAACA